rnacentral:misc_RNA from 1 species
GAUGAAGAAUGCAGCGAAAUGCGAUAAGUAAUGUGAAUUGCAGAAUUCAGUGAAUCAUCGAAUCUUUGAACGCACAUUGCGCCCGCCAGUAUUCUGGCGGGCAUGCCUGUCUGAGCGUCAUUUCAACCCUCAUGCCCCUAGGGCGUGGUGUUGGGGAUCGGCCAAAGCCCGCGAGGGACGGCCGGCCCCUAAAUCUAGUGGCGGACCCGUCGUGGCCUCCUCUGCGAAGUAGUGAUAUUCCGCAUCGGAGAGCGACGAGCCCCUGCCGUUAAACCCCCAACUUUCCAAGGUUGACCUCAGAUCAGGUAGGAAUACCCGCUGAACUUAAGCAUAUCAAUAAGCGGAGGA